rnacentral:rRNA from 1 species
ACUGGGUGGAUGAGUGGCGAACGGGUGAGUAACACGUGAGUAACCUGCCCUUGACUUCGGGAUAAGCCCGGGAAACUGGGUCUAAUACUGGAUAUGACUCCUUACCGCAUGGUGGGGGGUGGAAAGAUUUAUCGGUUGGGGAUGGACUCGCGGCCUAUCAGUUUGUUGGUGGGGUAAUGGCCUACCAAGACGACGACGGGUAGCCGGCCUGAGAGGGUGACCGGCCACACUGGGACUGAGACACGGCCCAG